rnacentral:rRNA from 1 species
GACGAACGCUGGCGGCGUGCUUAACACAUGCAGGUCGAGCGGUAAGGCCCUUUCGGGGGGUACACGAGCGGCGAACGGGUGAGUAACACGUGGGUGACCUGCCCUCAGCUCUGGGAUAAGCCUGGGAAACCGGGUCUAAUACUGGAUAUGACUCCACGACGCAUGUUGUGGGGUGGAAAGCCUUGUGCGGCUGAGGAUGGGCCCGCGGCCUAUCAGCUUGUUGGUGGGGUGAUGGCCUACCAAGGCGACGACGGGUAGCCGGCCUGAGAGGGCGACCGGCCACACUGGGACUGAGACACGGCCCAGACUCCUACGGGAGGCAGCAGUGGGGAAUCUUGCGCAAAUGGCGAAAGCCUGACGCAGCGACGCCGCGUGA